GCAAAUUAUGGUGGAAAAUAAGUAUUUGGUCAAUAACAAAAGUUUAUCUCAAUACUUUGUCAUAUACUCUUUGUUGGCAAUGACAGAGGUCAAACAUUUUCUGUAAGUCUUCACAAGGUUUUCCUGAACAUGGGGGUUGUUUCCAGAGACUCAAGGUACAACAGCUGUACUGUGUUGGAGCCAGUAAGGAGUUCUGGCAGCACAAACAUAAUGUCUCUAGGUUUCUCCCUAGGUUCCUGACUUUCUAGGGAGUUUUUCCUAGCCACUGUGCUUCUACACCUGAAUUGCUUGCUGUCUGGGGUUUUAGGCUGUGUUUCUGUACAGCACUUUGUGACAUCAGCUGAUAUAAAAUGGGCUUUAUAAAUACAUUUGAUUGAAUGAAUCCAUCGACAGACUACUUCGUAAGUUAUCAAUUUUGUAAGGUUGAGAAAUUAGAAACUAUUAAGAGGAAGGAUGUUUGUAAAUGUAUGUAGAAAAUGGGUCAUAUCUUCAGAAGAUUCUCACAUUGUUUGUGAUACAAAUGUAAAAAGCAUAUUUCCCCAAUAAAGCUUCUAUGUGAGAAUUGCCAGACAACUCUGGGACACCCACACUGGUGUAAAGUCACCCUAAUUACAUACAAUAGACAUUUAAAAUCAUACCACACCGCACGCUUUGCAAAAUAAAUGUACACAUACAUGUUAUUCAAUAAUUGCAUCCAAACUGCUUGCGAGCGUCUGAGUAGACAGGCGUUAAAAUAGAACUUGGUUAAAUUUGUGACACUUGACACGCUGCAAGUUCCAUCUCUCCCAUCUCCUUAUUGUUUUUUAGGAGCAUAUACCCACGUGGGUGAUUGAAAGAUGAACUCCAGUGCAGUUGGUGGUGGUAAUGCACCUUAAAGUUGGUUGUCAACCGCCAUAUAAAGUUCAAAGAAGAAGAAGACCGAAGGAGAAGAGAUGACAAGAAACAAACUCGGUUGACGGUUUUAUCUCUGGAUUAAUUGUCAGAGUAGAGGACCUUGUGCAUUUCAGGUAAAAUAACAACACAAUGUUUAUAUCCCAGGACAAAUUUGCUAGCAAUAGCAAGCUAGCUAGCUAAAUGGCCAUACAUUUUUAAUUAUUUUCGACCUGUCCCCAAAUUAAUAUAGUUGGUUCAGAGUUUGUUUUGAUAUUUCAACCUGUGUGUCCUGAUUGAGUCUGAUAUGGAUGGACAAAAACCAACAUGUGCGCAAUGUCGUGCAUGCUCAGUCUAGUCAGCAUUGUGCCCAGUACUGUUCUUAUACAGCAAUGGAGAAUGAGACCAAGGAAAGCCUCUCCGCCGUGACCAUCGACAGAAGGGAGGAGCUCCUGCAGAAUGGAGAAAGAGGGCUUCAUAAGGACAAUGGACAAGCUGGUGACCCAAGUCCCACUGACUGAAGUUUGUACUGAUGCCCAAAUGUCUUCCCUAAGGAGUAAGUUGUUUCUUUUGAAUUUAACAAUACACAACUAGACAACAGACAAUACAUGGCUCCAACAGUAUAAACUUAUAGAAAUUCAAGAAUAGUCAUUUCAUCUCUUGAAUUUCAGUUUUUCAGAACCAGAGACGGUACAUGGAGCUGGAACUUCAUGAGGAAGUAAUGCAAUCAUCACUUUGCUUGGUUUCAUUUAGUUGAUGUUUCAACUGAAAUGCCUAUUGAGAUAAUUCUCUUAACCCCUCAAAACAUAGUUUAAAAAAGGCUGGGCAGCAGGCAGGGUACUCCACCAUUCUCCAGUGGAGUAAGGACAUAGUCAACCACUUCUCCAGUAAGGACAUAGUCAACCACUCCUCCAGUAAGGAUAUAGUCAAUCACUUCUCCAGUAAGGACAUAGUCAACCACUUCUCCAGUAAGGACAUAGUCAACCACUUCUCCAGUAAGGAUAUAGUCAAUCACUUCUCCAGUAAGGACAUAGUCAACCACUUCUCCAGUAAGGACAUGGUCAACCACUUCUCCAGUAAGGUCAUAGUCAACCACUUCUCCAGUAAGGACAUAGUCAAUCACUCCUCCAGUGUAGUAAGGACAUAGUCAACCACUUCUCCAGUAAGGACAUAGUCAACCACUUCUCCAUUAAGGACACAGUCAACCACUUCUCCAGUAAGGACAUAGUCAACCACUUCUCCAGUAAGGUCAUAGUCAAUCACUUCUCCAGUAAGGACAUAGUCAACCACUUCUCCAGUAAGGACACAGUCAACCACUUCUCCAGUAAGGACAUAGUCAACCACUUCUCCAGUAAGGACAUAGUCAACCACUUCUCCAGUAAGGACAUAGUCAACCACUUCUCCAGUGUAGUAAGGACACAGUCAACCACUUCUCCAGUGUAGUAAGGACACAGUCAAACACUUCUCCAGUGUAGUAAGGACACAGUCAACCACUUCUCCAUUAAGGACACAGUCAACCACUUCUCCAGUAAGGACACAGUCAACCACUUCUCCAUUAAGGACACAGUCAACCACUUCUCCAGUAAGGUCAUAGUCAACCACUUCUCCAGUAAGGUCAUAGUCAAUCACUUCUCCAGUAAGGACAUAGUCAACCACUUCUCCAGUAAGGAUACAGUCAACCACUUCUCCAGUAAGUAUACAGUCAACCACUUCUCCAUUAAGGACACAGUCAACCACUUCUCCAGUAAGGACACAGUCAACCACUUCUCCAGUAAGGUCAUAGUCAACCACUUCUCCAGUAAGGACAUAGUCAACCACUUCUCCUUCCUGUUUGUCCCUGUCCGGGGGUAUCAUCGGAUGGGGCCACAGUGUCUCCUGACCCUUCCUGUCUCAGCCUCCAGUAUUUAUGCUGCAGUAGUUUAAUGUGUCGGGGGCUAGGGUCAGUCUGUUAUAUCUGGAGUAUUUCUCCUGUGUGACUUUAAGUAUGCUCUCUCUUUCUUUCUCUCUCUCGGAGGACCUGAGCCCUAGGACCAUGCCUCAGGACUACCUGGCCUGAUGACUCCUUGCUGUCCCCAGUCCACCUGGCCUGGCCAUGCUGCUGCUCCAGUUUCAACUGUUCUGCCUGCGGCUAUGGAACCCUGACCUGUUCACCGGAGGUGCUACCUGUCCCAGACCUGCUGUUUUCAACUCUCUAGAGACAGCAGGAGCGGUAGAGAUACGCUUAAUGAUCAGCUAUGAAAAGCCAACUGACAUUUACUCCUGAGAUGCUGACUUGCUGCACCCUCGACAAUUACUGUGAUUAUUAUUAUUUGACCCUGCUGGUCAUUUAUGAACAUUUGAACAUCUUGGCCAUGUUAUGUUAUAAUCUCCACCCAGCACCCCUCAUAGCCUGGUUCUUCUCUAGGUUUCUUCCUAGGUUCGAGCCUUUCUAGGGAGUUUUUCCUGGCCACCGUGCUUCUACUCCUGCAUUGCUUGCUGUUUGGGGUUUUAUGCUGGGUUUUUGUACAGCACUUUGUGACAUCAGUUGAUGUACGAAGGGCUAUAUAAAUAAAUUUGAUUGAUUGAUUGAUAGUCAACCACUUCUGGUCGUGCUGUACGAAGGCUGGGACACAUGAAGAGUUCAUUGUAAGUGAAAUACUGUGGCACUAAGAACAGUGGAUGAUUUAUAUUGGUAAUGGCUGGU
ensembl:lncRNA